UUUCACUCAAAACUCAACAAAUGACUCCUCCCACAACGUUAUGACGUUCCCCAAGUUGUGGACUCACUCCGAUAUCUAUUGGUCCAUGAAAUCAGACAAUUCAGGUUCGUUCUGAAAUGAACUGGUUGGUAUACUGCAUAGUUUUGGCUGUUGGAUUUCACUCAAAAUACACCAAAUGACUCCUCUCACAACAUUAUGAUGUUCCCCAUGUUUUGGACUCAAACCAACAUCGAUUGGUCCAUGAAAUCGAAAAAUUCAGGUUUGUACGAGGUUUGUUCUGAAAUGGAGGGGUUGGUGUAUUGCAUAGUUUUGG
rnacentral:lncRNA from 1 species